rnacentral:rRNA from 1 species
CCUACAGGUGGCUGCAGUGGGGAAUAUUGGACAAUGGGGGGAACCCUGAUCCAGCCAUGCCGCGUGUGUGAAGAAGGCCCUCGGGUUGUAAAGCACUUUCAGUGAGGAAGAACGCCUGGUGGUUAAUACCCAUCAGGAAAGACAUCACUCACAGAAGAAGCACCGGCUAACUCCGUGCCAGCAGCCGCGGUAAUACGGAGGGUGCGAGCGUUAAUCGGAAUUACUGGGCGUAAAGCGCGCGUAGGUGGCUUGAUAAGCCGGUUGUGAAAGCCCCGGGCUCAACCUGGGAACGGCAUCCGGAACUGUCAAGCUAGAGUGCAGGAGAGGAAGGUAGAAUUCCCGGUGUAGCGGUGAAAUGCGUAGAGAUCGGGAGGAAUACCAGUGGCGAAGGCGGCCUUCUGGACUGACACUGACACUGAGGUGCGAAAGCGUGGGUAGCAAACAGGAUUAGAUACCCUGGUAGUC